rnacentral:rRNA from 1 species
CAAUAGCGUAUAUUAAAGUUGUUGCGGUUAAAAAGCUCGUAGUUGGAUUUCUGCUUAGUGCGACCGGUCCACCUUAGGGUUGGUAUCAGGUACGUACCGGGCAUAUUCCUAGGAAAUACGGCUGCGCCUCGUUGUGUGGCCUGUUCCCUGGGUCUUUUACUUUGAGGAAAUUAGAGUGUUUCAAGCAGGCAUCCGCCUUGAAUACAUUAGCAUGGAAUAAUACGAUAGGACUUUGGUUCUGUCUUGUUGGUUUCGGGAACUAAGGUAAUGAUUAAUAGGGAUAGUCGGGGGCAUUCGUACUUAACUGUCAGAGGUGAAAUUCUUGGAUCGGCGGAAGACGCGCAACUGCGAAAGCAUUUGCCAAGAAUGUUUUCUUUAAUCAAGAACGAUAGUCGGAGGUUCGAAGACGAUCAGAUACCGU